GAUGAAGAACGCAGCGAAAUGCGACAAGUAAUGUGAAUUGCAGAAUUCAGUGAAUCAUCGAAUCUUUGAACGCACAUUGCGCCCGCCAGUAUUCUGGCGGGCAUGCCUGUUCGAGCGUCAUUUCAACCAUCAAGCCCUGCUUGCGUUGGGGUCCUGCGGCUGCCCGCAGGCCCUGAAAACCAGUGGCGGGCUCGCUAGUCACACCGAGCGCAGUAAUACAUCUCGCUUUGGGCGUGCGGCGGGUUCUUGCCGUUAAACACCCCCUUUUUACCAAGGUUGACCUCGGAUCAGGUAGGAAUACCCGCUGAACUUAAGCAUAUCAAUAAGCGGAGGA
rnacentral:misc_RNA from 1 species